AGAGUUUGAUUAUGGCUCAGGAUGAACGCUGGCGGCGUGCCUAACACAUGCAAGUCGAGCGAUCUUCUUCGGAAGAGAGCGGCGGACGGGUGAGUAACGCGUGGGUAACCUGCCCUGUACACACGGAUAACAUACCGAAAGGUAUGCUAAUACGAGAUAAUAUGCUUUUAUCGCAUGGUAGAAGUAUCAAAGCUCCGGCGGUACAGGAUGGACCCGCGUCUGAUUAGCUAGUUGGUAAGGUAACGGCUUACCAAGGCGACGAUCAGUAGCCGACCUGAGAGGGUGAUCGGCCACAUUGGAACUGAGACACGGUCCAA
rnacentral:rRNA from 1 species